GACGAACGCUGGCGGCGUGCUUAACACAUGCAAGUCGAACGGAAAGGCCCUGCUUUUGUGGGGUGCUCGAGUGGCGAACGGGUGAGUAACACGUGAGUAACCUGCCCUUGACUUUGGGAUAACUUCAGGAAACUGGGGCUAAUACCGGAUAGGAGCUCCUGCUGCAUGGUGGGGGUUGGAAAGUUUCGGCGGUUGGGGCUGGACUCGCGGGUUAUGAGCUUGUUGGUGGGGUAGUGGCUUACCAAGGGUUUGACGGGUAGCCGGCCUGGGAGGGUGACCGGCCACAUUGGGACUGCGAUACGGCCCAGACUCCUACGGGAGGCAGCAGUGGGGAAUAUUGCACAAUGGGCGGAAGCCUGAUGCAGCAACGCCGCGUGCGGGAUGACGGCCUUCGGGUUGUGAACCGCUUUCGCCUGUGACGAAGCGUGAGUGACGGUAAUGGGUAAAGAAGCACCGGCUAACUACGUG
rnacentral:rRNA from 1 species